rnacentral:rRNA from 1 species
UUCGGGCAAGGCUUCGGUUUAAGUUCCUCGGAACAGGACGUCAUAGAGGGUGAGAAUCCCGUCUUGAACCAUCUGCCGCGUCCAUGUGAAACUCCUUCGACGAGUCGAGUUGUUUGGGAAUGCAGCUCAAAAUGGGAGGUAAAUUUCUUCUAAAGCUAAAUAUUGGCCAGAGACCGAUAGCGCACAAGUAGAGUGAUCGAAAGAUGAAAAGCACUUUGAAAAGAGAGUUAAACAGUAUGUGAAAUUGUUGAAAGGGAAGCAUUUGCAACCAGACUUGUGUGUAACGGUUCAACCACCAUUCUUGGUGGCCCAUUCCGUUAUAUCCAGGCCAGCAUCGGUUCAGGUGGUUAGUUAAAGGCCUUGGGAAUGUAUCAACCCUCGGGUUGACUUAUAGCCCUUGGUGUAAUGUGACCUACCUGGACCGAGGAACGCGCUUCGGCGAGGAUGCUGGCGUAAUGGUUGUAAAUGACCCGUCUUGAAACACGGACCAAGGAGUCUAACAUCUAUGCGAGUGUUCGGGUGUCAAACCCCUACGCGUAAUGAAAGUGAACGGAGGUAAGAACCGCAAGGUGCAUUAUCGACCGAUCCUGAUGUCUUCGGAUGGAUUUGAGUAAGAGCAUAGCUGUUGGGACCCGAAAGAUGGUGAACUAUGCCUGAAUAGGGUGAAGCCAGAGGAAACUCUGGUGGAGGCUCGCAGCGGUUCUGACGUGCAAAUCGAUCGUCAAAUUUGGGUAUAGGGGCGAAAGA